AGUUGUUUGUAUAAUUUAAACUCCCUAAGAGCUACAUUGACUAUUUUAAGAGAAGGUUUUCGACGGGUUCCAUGAUUUUAUUCCCUGGCUUGCAGUCUUGGAAUACGUGUGGAAAUAUUUUGUUUUGUUGCAUUCUGCACAAAUAAAAGAUUCAUUUGACUUGGACUAAAAAUAGGAUCCCAGAUGGUAACUCCUCAUUCUCAAAUUAGAAAUACCUUUACAUUUUUUGGACUGUUCUUUUCUUCAAUUAAAAGAAAUGUAAUAUUGCUGUAAUUAUUUUAUAUACAUAAUACAUGCCACCUCAUCAUCA
rnacentral:lncRNA from 1 species